UACGUAGGGGGCAAGCGUUGUCCGGAUUUAUUGGGCGUAAAGAGCGUGUAGGCGGUUUGGUAGGUCCGCUGUGAAAACUCGAGGCUCAACCUCGAGACGCCGGUGGAAACCAUCAGACUAGAGUCCGGAAGAGGAGAGUGGAAUUCCGUGGUGUAGCGGUGAAAUGCGCAGAUAUCAGGAGGAACACCUGCGGCGAAGGCGGGUUGCUGGGCCGACACUGACGCUGAUGCGCGAAAGCCAGGGGAGCGAACGGG
rnacentral:rRNA from 1 species